CAAACAAUCCGCUGGCCCAGACAGGUGGUCCAGGCCGGCAGGGCUGCCCUGAGCCUGCGCUGGGGACAGGACUCACCGUCGCGGCCGCUGGGCCAGACACCCCCGAGGGCCACGCUGUAGCCAGACCUCCCUCGGUGGAGCUGCGCUGGUGCCCCUGGCACUCAGGUGGCGGGGGAAGGACAGAAAGCCAGGUUUCCUGUGAGCGGAGCGCCCUCGCCCAUCACCCGCUCCCCCUGCUGCUGAGGCCAGCUCACCUUGAGGAUCUUGAUCUCCUUCCCCAGGAGAGUCUGCGACUUGGCCAGGGAACACGGAUUCAAACCCUGGUCCCGGAAGAUCCCAUAUGCGUCAGAGCA